UACGUAGGGUGUGAGCGUUGUCCGGAAUUAUUGGGCGUAAAGAGCUCGUAGGCGGCCUGUCGCGUCGGAUGUGAAAGCCCGGGGCUUAACCCCGGGUCUGCAUUCGAUACGGGCAGGCUAGAGUGUGGUAGGGGAGAUCGGAAUUCCUGGUGUAGCGGUGAAAUGCGCAGAUAUCAGGAGGAACACCGGUGGCGAAGGCGGAUCUCUGGGCCAUUACUGACGCUGAGGAGCGAAAGCGUGGGGAGCGAACAGG
rnacentral:rRNA from 1 species